rnacentral:rRNA from 1 species
GAUGAACGCUAGCGGCAGGCUUAAUACAUGCAAGUCGAACGGGAUUGAGAAGCUUGCUUUUCAUGAGAGUGGCGCACGGGUGCGUAACACGUAUGCAACCUGCCUUGUCCAGGGGGAUAGCCCGUUGAAAGACGGAUUAAGACCGCAUAACAUCAUUGAAUGGCAUCGUUUAAUGAUCAAAUAUUUAUAGGGACAAGAUGGGCAUGCGUCUGAUUAGCUAGUUGGCGGGGUAAUGGCCCACCAAGGCGACGAUCAGUAGGGGAUCUGAGAGGAUGACCCCCCACGCUGGUACUGAGACACGGACCAGACUCCUACGGGAGGCAGCAGUAAGGAAUAUUGGUCAAUGGGCGCAGGCCUGAACCAGCCAUGCCGCGUGCAGGAAGACGGCCCUACGGGUUGUAAACUGCUUUUAUACGGGAAUAACCCCGGUUUCGUGAAACCGGCUGAAUGUACCGUAAGAAUAAGGAUCGGCUAACUCCGUGCCAGCAGCCGCGGUAAAAC